AGCGAACGCUGGCGGCAGGCCUAACACAUGCAAGUCGAACGAAGCCUUCGGGCUUAGUGGCGGACGGGUGAGUAACACGUGGGAACGUACCUUUUGGUUCGGAAUAACGCAGAGAAAUUUGCGCUAAUACCGAAUGAGCCCUUCGGGGGAAAGAUUUAUCGCCGAAAGAUCGGCCCGCGUUGGAUUAGGUAGUUGGUGUGGUAAAGGCGCACCAAGCCUACGAUCCAUAGCUGGUCUGAGAGGAUGAUCAGCCACACUGGGACUGAGACACGGCCCAGACUCCUACNNNNGGCAGCAGUGNGGANUGUUGCGCAAUGGGCGAAAGCCUGACGCAGCCAUGCCGCGUGAAUGAUGAAGGUCUUAGGAUUGUAAAAUUCUUUUACCAGNGACGAUAAUGACGGUACCUGGAGAAAAAGCCCCGGCUAACUUCGUGCCAGCCGCCGCAGUAACA
rnacentral:rRNA from 1 species